UCAAACUCUGCGCAGGCGGUUUUGUAAGUCAGAUGUGAAAUCCCCGAGCUCAACUUGGGAACUGCGUUUGAAACUACAAGACUAGAAUAUGUCAGAGGGGGGUAGAAUUCCACGUGUAGCAGUGAAAUGCGUAGAGAUGUGGAGGAAUACCAAUGGCGAAGGCAGCCCCCUGGGAUAAUAUUGACGCUCAUGCACGAAAGCGUGGGGAGCAAACAGGAUUAGAUACCUUGGUAGUCCACGCCCUAAACGAUGUCUACUAGUUGUUGGUGGAGUAAAAUCCAUGAGUAACGCAGCUAACGCGUGAAGUAGACCGCCUGGGGAGUACGGGUCGCAAGAUUAAAACUCAAAUGAAUUGACGGGGGGCCCGCACAAGCGGUGGAUUAUGUGGAUUAAUUCGAUGCAACGCGAAAAACCUUACCUGGCCUUGACAUGUAACGAACUUUCCAGAGAUGGAUUGGUGCUCGAAAGAGAACGUUAACACAGGUGCUGCAUGGCUGUCGUCAGCUCGUGUCGUGAGAUGUUGGGUUAAGUCCCCAACGAGCGCAACCCUUGCCAUUAAUUGCCAUCAUUUAGUUGGGCACUUUAAUGGGACUGCCGGUGACAAACCGGAGGAAGGUGGGGAUGACGUCAAGUCCUCCUGGCCCUUAUGGCCAGGGCUUCACACGUAAUACAAUGGUCGGUACAGAGGGUUGCCCAGCCGCGAGGUGGAGCCAAUCCCAGAAAGCCGAUCGUAGUCCGGAUUGUAGUCUGCAACUCGACUACAUGAAGUCGGAAUCGCUAGUAAUCGCGGAUCAGCAUGUCGCGGUGAAUACGUUCCCGGGCUUGUACACACCGCCCGUCACACCAUGGGAGUGGGUUUUACCAGAAGUAGGUA
rnacentral:rRNA from 1 species